UUAGGUUUUCAGGCAACCGUCUUCCCGAAAUCUCGGGGGGAAGGAAAGUCCGAACACCUACGAGUACUGUACUUCCUAACGGGAAGAUUCCGGAUAAAAACGGGAUAGCCAGUGCCACAGAAAACAGACUUCCUUUCGGAUGGAGGGGUAAACCCCUCUUCUACCGAACGCUUUCGGGAUUCGGAGGGUAAAGGUGAAACGGUGAGGUAAGAGCUCACCGCCCCAACGGUGACGUUCGGGGGCAGGGCAAACCUUACAGGGUGCAAGUUCGCGCAGGUUGUGCGCCACUCGUCGCUAUACAACCGGGUAGAACGCAACAGAUCUUAAUGGCAACAUUAAGACAAGAUAAAUGGUUGCCAACCGUCAUUUGACGGUUACAGAAUUCGGCUUAUCGAAAACCUAUAAAA
rnacentral:RNase_P_RNA from 1 species